rnacentral:rRNA from 1 species
GACGAACGCUGGCGGCGUGCUUAACACAUGCAAGUCGAACGGAAAGGCCCUGCUUUUGUGGGGUGCUCGAGUGGCGAACGGGUGAGUAACACGUGAGUAACCUGCCCUUGACUUUGGGAUAACUUCAGGAAACUGGGGCUAAUACCGGAUAGGAGCUCCUGCUGCAUGGUGGGGGUUGGAAAGUUUCGGCGGUUGGGGAUGGACUCGCGGCUUAUCAGCUUGUUGGUGGGGUAGUGGCUUACCAAGGCUUUGACGGGUAGCCGGCCUGAGAGGGUGACCGGACACAUUGGGACUGAGAUACGGCCCAGAGUCCUACGGGAGGCAGCAGUGGGGAAUAUUGCACAAUGGGCGGAAGCCUGAUGCAGCAACGCCGCGUGCGGGAUGACGGCCUUCGGGUUGUAAACCGCUUUCGCCUGUGACGAAGCGUGAGUGACGGUAAUGUGUAAAGAAGCACCGGCUAACUACGUG